rnacentral:rRNA from 1 species
GAUCAUGGCUCAGGAUGAACGCUGGCGGCGUGCUUAACACAUGCAAGUCGAACGAAGCACUCUAUUUGAUUUUCUUCGGAAAUGAAGAUUUUGUGACUGAGUGGCGGACGGGUGGGUAACGCGUGGGUAACCUGCCUCAUACAGGGGGAUAACAGUUGGAAACGACUGCUAAUACCGCAUAAGCGCACAGGAUUGCAUGAUCCGGUGUGAAAAACUCCGGUGGUAUGAGAUGGACCCG